GCAUUGCCUUAGUAAGUUCUUCAUAAUCAACAUAAACUUCUUGACCAUCUUUUGGAGUGUUAAAUUCAGUUGUGUUACUGUGUAUAAAAUAUCUCCAAGUUUCUUAUCUUCUGGUCUAUCAACAUUUUCAUGGUCCUGAUUUCGUCGUUCCAAUUUAAUCCAAUCUCUGAAACAUACUAAAACUUCCAAAGCAUUGCUUCUCAAUGAACGAAGGGUGUCUCCACGUUGUUGUCUUGCUUGACUAAAUGCAGUCUAUGAUGCAACAAUUGAAAUUGGCACAUUCUGCACAUCCCAAGAAUAUCGGAAAGAAUAUGAAAUUGCUUUUCAUUCACAUGCUACCAUCCUAACGGUGAAAAUUCCUUUGUGCAAGGCUCUUUUU
rnacentral:lncRNA from 1 species